rnacentral:rRNA from 1 species
GGACUACUGGGGUAUCUAAUCCUGUUUGCUACCCACGCUUUCGCGCCUCAGCGUCAGUCUUGGUCCAGAUAGCCGCCUUCGCCACUGGUGUUCCUCCCGAUCUCUACGCAUUUCACCGCUACACCGGGAAUUCCGCUAUCCUCUCCCACACUCAAGCUAAACAGUUUUCAAAGCAAUUCCCACCUUGAAAGCGGGACUUUCACUCCAAACUUAUCUAGCCGCCUACGCGCCCUUUACGCCCAGUCAUUCCGGACAACGCUCGCCCCCUACGUAUUACCGCGGCGGCUGGCAC